UUCAUAAUAACUCAACGAAUCGCAUGGCCUUGCGCCGGCGAUGGUUCAUUCAAAUUUCUGCCCUAUCAACUUUCGAUGGUAGGAUAGUGGCCUACCAUGGUCUCAACGGGUAACGGGGAAUUAGGGUUCUAUUCCGGAGAGGGAGCCUGAGAAACGGCUACCACAUCCAAGGAAGGCAGCAGGCGCGCAAAUUACCCAAUCCCAACACGGGGAGGUAGUGACAAUAAAUACUGAUACAGGGCUCUUUUGGGUCUUGUAAUUGGAAUGAGUACAAUCUAAAUCCCUUAACGAGGAACAAUUGGAGGGCAAGUCUGGUGCCAGCAGCCGCGGUAAUUCCAGCUCCAAUAGCGUAUAUUAAAGUUGUUGCCGUUAAAAAGCUCGUAGUUGAACCUUGGGUCGGGCCGCUCUGUCCUCCUAAUCGAGCGCACGGAGUCGGUCGGACCUUUCCUUCUGGGGAGCCCGAUGCCCUUUACUGGGCGUCGCGGGGAACCAGGACUUUUACCUUGAAAAAAUUAGAGUGUUCAAAGCAGCCUUUGCUCGAAUACAUUAGCAUGGAAUAAUAGAAUAGGACAGCAGUUCUAUUUUGUUGGUUUCUAGGACCGCUGUAAUGAUUAAUAGGGAUAGUCGGGGGCGUCCGUAUUCAAUUGUCAGAGGUGAAAUUCUUGGAUUUAUUGAAGACGAACUACUGCGAAAGCAUUCGCCAAGGAUGUUUUCAUUAAUCAGUGAACGAAAGUUAGGGGAUCGAAGACGAUCAGAUACCGUCGUAGUCUUAACCAUAAACUAUGCCGACUAGGGAUCGGACGGUGGUUUUUUUAUGCCCCGUUCGGCACCUUACGA
rnacentral:rRNA from 1 species